UUUAUGACCUCAAUGCAAAACCUCUAUUAGUUUCAACCUGUUUCUGGUAACGUGUCUAAUACUAAAUUAUCUCUUUUAUGUGGUUUGUGUAUUACAUGCUAACCUCAGAUUGCUUUCAUGUGUUCCACUUUGAGGAGUUCAAGAGUUUUGCAGGAAGAGCAGUAAAAUGUGUUUUUGACAAUCUCUUUAGUUUCUAGUCCAAGCUGAGUUUCUAAUGACAGUUUGAGCAGCAAUGAUUACUUGGAACAGCAGGCGUAAGCAGCUUGUGUGCUGCUGACAUGUGUGAGUGCAUGUGCAUAGGAGGCGACUACUAGGGAAAACCUAUUUGGGAAGAGCUGGUACAGCUCUGGUCAAAGGCUGGAACAGCACAAUGAUGAGCAGAUCAGGAUGGACUACGAAACAGCAUUACAGAGGCCUUGUUAUCUCUGGUUUUUGAGAUAGUGUCAGUACCAGCAUGAUAGUGGUCAUGAAGACUGUGCUUUCCACAGUGCCAUGUGCAUUUCCUAAUCUCUUUCAUUUAAAACUGGGUCUUUUACACCACCUGAACUUACAGUAGUCUUCCAUACGCUACGUGCGUGAAGGAUGAAGUGAGCAGUUACAAGGGGCUGGAUUAACACACAACAUGAAGCAGGAGCAGGGAGACUGAGCCAUGGCAGGGUAACAUGGUGAUUGCAGCAGAGCCAGGGUGAGGAGCAGAGGCAUGCCAGCAUGCCAGGGCCACGUGCCGGGGAUGCCUAUCCCAGACUGCUUAUGGCCAAUGGCUGUCAGUAUGAUGGAUGCCAUAGCGUGCGUUGGCAGACAACAUGUUCUCUAUGGCCUGCCUCCCUCUGCCAUGCAGGAAACAGGGAUCCUAGGGGCAAGGCACUGGGAAGCCCCGAACAUCCCUGUUUGCAGCACCUGCUUUGUUCAUCCAUGCCAUGGGCCCUCCCCAGAGGAAGAGGUGGGACCACUCCUGCCUCUUCCUGAGCAGGAUGAUCUCAGCAUGAGUCACUUGCAGCACGGUAUGGACCCUGUUACUGGCACUGGAAACAGUGCCCAACUAGCAGCUGCAUGGUUCAGCACAUCUCUGACGCAGCUAGGGCAGGGCACCUUCCUAACUGAAGCAUUCAAGGGCAAGGCUUGAGUGUGCUAUAAUUUUGCAUGUAGUUCUUGCUGGAGAACAGGAUGCAGUGAGCAGAAGAGGGUGGGGUUGGUGAAAAUCUGUUUCUCUCAUUCUUGGUGGCCGCUGCGUGUCUGCACAGUGUGCUCUUCUGGGGCUAUAAGGAAAGCUGCAGGAGCUGUGAGCUCUUUCCUAGCGGUGUUAGCUGUAACUCAAAGAGAAAUCUUGGUUCACUGGUGUCUCAGUAGGGUCUGAGUGGCUGAGGAUUAUUGCUGAAAUCUCCAGUCGAGUGCCAGCCAUUUUACUGUGAGAAGCUGCCUUGCUUUUGCUUGAGUCGUCUUCUCAAUAUCUCAUGAGAUUCUCAAAUAUCUCCUACACCAACACCUUCUUUUCCUCACAGAGGUCUACUCUUCCUUUGAGUCCCUGGAAAACACUACCCCAAAGCCAUUUGCUUGGGCUGAGUGACAUGCUGAGCAGUUAAUGAACCAGCACAGCUGUGUUAAAGCAUCUCAGCAAUGAAUACAGGCUAAAAUAGAAGCCACAAGCGGGGAACAUGCAAACCCUUCCUGUGCCAGAGAUGAAAUCCAGAGAAUGCUGGGCUGGAUUGCUGGCUUUUCACGCCUCUCGCUAAUUAAAUCCUAGUCUGUAGUCCACUUGUCCACUCCAUCUGAGCUGGUGGCUUCUUAACAGCUUUGUAGGUGCAUUUCCACUGGGGCAUCUUCCAGAAACAACAGAAACUCACACACACCACCUUUAAGCCAGAGACAUGUAAUUAGGUUGUUUUUCGGAAGGUUGGUUUGCUACAGGCAAAUAGCCCAUCACUAAGUUUGAACGGCCAGCUUGUCCAGUUUUUAACCUCACAAAGAUUUUGUUACAGUUAAUCCUUUACUGAUGGUCCCUGCAUCCUGUUCCAAGUAACUUAAAUGAUACAGCUUAAGUCUAUUUAAAAGGAUGGGUGGAGUACUUGUCCCAUUCAUUCCAGUGAAGAAACAAACCCCGGCUAGCCAAAAGGCUUCAAGUAAGAUUGGGUGAUACUCAGAACACGAAGAUUUUUGGUUUGUAUAACAAUCCAAGUGUGGUGAGUGGAAGAAAGUUGUCUAGUUUUUAAUCAACUCAACAUUUGUGCAGAGCUGCAUGUAGAAGUGGAAUCAGUAUUUACUAUGUAGCCAAUUCUCAUAAUUUUAUCAUGAAUUUUGCAAUGUUAUGCUUUUGGAAAAAAAGAAUAACCCACUAUUAUGUAAGAAAUCUAAUUUUCAUUUAAAAGAAAGAAAGAAAAAAAAGUGUUUCUAGCCCUUGCACUUAUGUAGAGUGUGACCUAAGUACACCCCAAAGUAAAAAUGAACAACAAAAACCCUCCCCCAAACGUUAUGGUUUCUGAGUCAAGCCCUGUACACUCAUGUUCCAUUUUUCAUUUGAUUUUUUUUGUUGUUGGCAUUUCUGCAGUUAUAAGUCAAUGGGUGCCCUGAAGGAAAGAUUUGGUCUUCUUUGCCUGAGCUUGCCCUGCAAAAGGCUAUCGGUACAGCUCACCUGUUCAUGAAGUACCAGAUAGACCCAUCGGAAUCAGAGCAAUCUCUAGUUCCUGAGCUCUGCUUCAGUUUUGCUGGUGAAGCUCAAGUCUGAGGCUGUGCUCUGACCAAUCUCUCCUUCCUUUACUGUAAAGACACGGUGAAAUGGUAAUCCCUUUCUGAAGGAGGAAACAGGAUGUUCCUCUCCCUUGGCCUGGCAGCACUGGCCAGCUGUGCACAGCUGCACACCAGCCCAGAAGCAGAAAGUUCAAGUUCACCCUUCCUAAGCAAGGAUCUAUGCCUUGGGCUCAAGCCAAGCUGGCAACCACCAACAGAGAGAAGCAGCACAAAGCAUAGCAGACCCUGCAUAUAGGACCCACGUUUGCACCAUUGCCAUUGCUCCACCACUGAGCUAGAGAGGCUUUCAUGCACACAAAACUUAAGGACUGUAUUUUGGGCAUGUCUUUGGAAAGGCUUCUAAUCGUUGAAAAGUUCUUCACUUAAAUUCAUCAUCAUCAUCAUCACCGAAUGAGUGACAGGGAUUUAAACCUUAAUAUUGUGUGAAGGUUCACCAAGAUGCCAAACUGUGGCUGGCUACAGCUUCAGCACAGCUCGUAACAAUGCAGGCCAUGACAUGCCAAUGUGAUGGAGCGUGGUGAUGUGCUGACUGGGAUCUGCAACCUGCUCCCUGUGUCCACAUGGGGUAUGAGGAAUGCCAAGCAGUGCCCACUGUGGUUGCAUACGUCUGUCUGGGCAGAAGAGGGGUGUGUAAAGAAGAUGGUCUGAACUUCAGGAUUGCCCACCUGCUCCUGGGGGUUUGUCUGGAGGACUCAGAUCCUUCCUCCCACUCACCUGUGCAGUAACUGGGUUCUCUUGGUGAAGAUCCACUCCCUUUUUCACAACAGGAUGUAUGAACAGUUUGCAAAAUUUGGAGAAGAAAAAUGGCUGCAGCUCCCUUCAUUGAACUAACUAGUGGGAGGAAGGAAAGAAAAGCCCUGCAGUUAAUUGAAUUAACGAAUUGAAAAGGAAAAUCUCCAGGACACCCCUUGUGACUGGGGUUAGAAAGGCUGUGAUUUUUCCACCCAGCACUGGACAGGCUCCAGGCAAGCUCCAGGAUGAAUUCUUAAUCUGGGAUAGGAACUUUGUUGUCCUGGCUUUAAAUGGUUUAUCAGGAACACAUUCCACAACAAACUACAUCCAGAAAUUCUGGUCUUUUUUAAAGUCAUAAGCAGAACUCGGUGAAUUUUGCUUGGCAGGACCCAGAGAUGGAAAAGAAAGGGCAGAUCAGCAGAAGCAGGCUCAAUUCUCAAAGCACUGUGUUUUUCCACAGAAGAGAGGAGAGAGCAGAACUGUUGGUAGUCAUUUUUCCCUACUUCUCCAACAGAGCCAGCGGUACUGAGGAGCUGCAGCCCUGAUUAUUACUUGCAAGCAUUUAUUAAUGUGUGUAUUCAUAUAAUGAAGUAGAAUCUCUAUACCAGGUUGUAGCCCUUCCCAUUAAGCUUCUUGACUGUGCCUAUUUCUCUUGCAUUGACUCCUUCACGUAGUCCAUCAAUUCUUACAUCUGUGCUAGAGAGCAAAGUUACUCAAAGUUCGGCUACUGCUCGAUUUACCGUGCUUUAUCUGUUCUGCAGUACCCAGCUGUAUUCGUGCUCUCAGCCAGCAGCCCUUCAAGGGCAGCCUGUGCCAUGUUCAGCAGAGGGCUCAGCUGCCUGCCCUGGUCCCGGGACAACAGCCUUCCAAUGGGAACUUACCUUAAUGUAAGUAGCGUGCUCUGAAAUUACACCCUUGCUUACCUUGCGGUAACUUGCUCGUGUAGUCAUGGCCUUAAGGUUUUUCUUUCGUAUCCAUGGCCACAACAUCUAAGCAUUUUAUGGUACAGCAUACACUAAACAUUAAUUUCAAAUUAUUGAGACUAUUUUCAUGACUCAACAACUUUCUAAUGACUGUGUACCUUAUUAAACUCUCGCAGCCCUUUAAUAAGAAAGUUUUCCCUCAUCCCUUGGCAUUUAAACACUGUAUAACUGAAAUGAAAUGCAUAGCUGAAGUAUUUUUUUUUUAGGACACUCGAUUUACAGUGAGCCCAAAGCAGCAAAGGACUCUUUGAAAAUCUCUAGAGUGGACACUCCCAGAGCUGUCUGUAUACACUUCGAAUUAAUUAUUCCCUUCAUGGAAAUUGUACAAGAUGUCCCCUUGCUUCUUUCUGACUGCCUUCCUGCCCUUUUCUGAUAAUCCCUCUCUAUCCUCUGGGCUCUCUCUGGUCCUAAACUUAACAUAUAAAGCUAUUUUUAUCUAGGGGUUAGGGUGUG
rnacentral:lncRNA from 1 species